GUAUUUGCCUGACAGGAAAGAGACGCUCAUCAGACACAUGGUUUUCUCCACGUGAAGCUCAUCCAUUGCACUCCGAGUGUGCCAACCCCUGAGAUUCCCCCAGAUUCAGGAAACUCAACUGCAUAACUGG
rnacentral:snRNA from 1 species